rnacentral:tmRNA from 1 species
GGGGAUGUUAUUGGCUUCGACGCUGGUGAUGAAACUCAUAGAUGCAUGCCGAGAGCGCAUUUUCUCUCGUAAAUCAAAUUUGCAUAUUUUAGUCGCAAACGACGAAACUUACGCUCUAGCUGCCUAAGGGCAGUUUGUCCGCUUCCUAGAAUACUUGUGGUUUAGGAACCCGACCGUAGCGCACGCACACAAGUCCGUAUAGAGUCAAGCCUCGGGGCUUUAUACCAAACUUAGAGGAUC